rnacentral:rRNA from 1 species
ACUCAGUGAAAUUGAACUCGCUGUGAAGAUGCAGUGUACCCGCGGCAAGACGGAAAGACCCCGUGAACCUUUACUAUAGCUUGACACUGAACAUUGAGCCUUGAUGUGUAGGAUAGGUGGGAGGCUUUGAAGUGUGGACGCCAGUCUGCAUGGAGCCGACCUUGAAAUACCACCCUUUAAUGUUUGAUGUUCUAACGUUGACCCGUGAUCCGGGUUGCGGACAGUGUCUGGUGGGUAGUUUGACUGGGGCGGUCUCCUCCUAAAGAGUAACGGAGGAGCACGAAGGUUGGCUAAUCCUGGUCGGACAUCAGGAGGUUAGUGCAAUGGCAUAAGC